rnacentral:rRNA from 1 species
AGCUUGCUGGGGUGGAUUAGUGGCGAACGGGUGAGUAACACGUGAGUAACCUGCCCCUGACUCUGGGAUAAGCGUUGGAAACGACGUCUAAUACUGGAUAUGACUUCCGGCCGCAUGGUCUGGUGGUGGAAAGAUUUUUUGGUUGGGGAUGGACUCGCGGCCUAUCAGCUUGUUGGUGAGGUAAUGACUCACCAAGGCGACGACGGGUAGCCGGCCUGAGAGGGUGACCGGCCACACUGGGACUGAGACACGGCCCAGACUCCUACGGGAGGCAGCAGUGGGGAAUAUUGCACAAUGGGCGAAAGCCUGAUGCAGCAACGCCGCGUGAGGGAUGACGGCCUUCGGGUUGUAAACCUCUUUUAGUAGGGAAGAAGCGAAAGUGACGGUACCUGCAGAAAAAGCACCGGCUAACUACGUGCCAGCAGCCGCGGUAAUACGUAGGGUGCAAGCGUUGUCCGGAAUUAUUGGGCGUAAAGAGCUCGUAGGCGGUUUGUCGCGUCUGCUGUGAAAUCCCGAGGCUCAACCUCGGGCUUGCAGUGGGUACGGGCAGACUAGAGUGCGGUAGGGGAGAUUGGAAUUCCUGGUGUAGCGGUGGAAUGCGCAGAUAUCAGGAGGAACACCGAUGGCGAAGGCAGAUCUCUGGGCCGUAACUGACGCUGAGGAGCGAAAGCAUGGGGAGCGAACAGGAUUAGAUACCCUGGUAGUCCAUGCCGUAAACGUUGGGCAAUAGAUGUAGGGACCUUUCCACGGUUUCUGUGUCGUAGCUAACGCAUUAAGCGCCCCGCCCGGGAGAACCUC